UACGUACGGGGCUAGCGUUGUCCGGAUUUAUUGGGCGUAAAGAGCGUGUAGGCGGCCAGGUAGGUCUGGUGUGAAAACUCGAGGCUUAACCUCGAGAUGUCAUCGGAAACCAUCUGGCUAGAGUCCGGAAGAGGAGAGUGGAAUUCCUGGUGUAGCGGUGAAAUGCGCAGAUAUCAGGAAGAACACCAAUGGCGAAAGCAGCUCUCUGGGACGGUACUGACGCUGAGACGCGAAAGCGUGGGGAGCGAACAGG
rnacentral:rRNA from 1 species